rnacentral:lncRNA from 1 species
ACAGUAAAGAAGGCAAAAGAAAAGAAAACAACAAAUAGACUCAAUCUUGGAAAUUUGGGGAGUUGUCCAAUGAAAAAACAAAUCCUACACAGGGACAUAUUUGCUCUAAUUCCAUAAUUU